AAAGGGAUGUUUAUAGCUUCGACGUCGUGAUGUUGGUGCUUUUGACUGGAAAAAAGCCCUUGAGGAGGGAACAAGGCUGGUCACCUGGGUGCCCUUUUGCGUAGGCUUCACCGAAUUGGUACUAUCCUGACCUUAUUCAAUACAUUAGUGUCAGGUUCUAUAUUAUUUGUCCCUGCACAAAGAGCUUCUACCUGCAUUACUUCGGCCAGGUUUGCUUUUGAACUUCUUAGCCUAUUUAGAAUGUGUUUCUUUAGCCCUUCUAUAGCACAUGCACAAGUUUACUAUAAUUAUUUUAAACUCUUGCAUAAUGUCUACGGGUUAAUUAAUUAUUUGACGAUGGAAAUGUUAUGAUUUAAACUCAGUUUUUUGAGAAUGGGUACCGUAAAGCAUCAGCAGAUGGAUAUUUUUUUUAUACUGAUCUUUUUCAUUUCAAUAAAGCAGAUUGCUUUUAACUUUGUUUUUCCUCUUAAUUGAUUUGAAUAAUUUGAAACUCGGAUGGUUGGACAGCUGGAGAGGACCUUUAAUUUUGAUGGGAGAAGAGGUGAUUUUAAAUAAGCAACUUGCUCCUUGUAUAUUAUGGUGUUUUAAUCUUAUACUAACAACUUGCUCCUUGUGUAUUAUGGUGUUUAUUCUAUACUAAACAACUUGCUCCUUUCAAAGUUACCUCUCAGACAUAUUUCUGUGUAUGAUUCAAAAAAGCCUGUGUUGAGCAGAGUGUUGAGCAAGUUUUAUAAAUUCUAUGUAUGCCACAUAAUCCGAGCAGAGUGUUGAGCAAGUUUUACAAUAUACUUCUAUGUAUGCCACAUAAUCCGAGCAGAGUGUUGAGCAAGUUUUAUAAAUUCGCAGAAGAAUUUAUAUGAAAGCUUCAUUAGCUAUCAUUGAGUUGUAAUAUUCAUGUAGAUUGUGGUUUCUGCUUUAUUGCAUUGAUCUUGAACAUACAUUAUUUUUCUUGUUCACUAGGCCUUGUAGAUUUCUGAUUUUUGUGGCUUGUUUUCGUUGUAAAUUUACAAUGCUUUAUUUAUUAUUAUAACUGUCUUGAUAGAUAAUGUCCAGCUUGCUUUGGGUAAGUUGAUGCAAUAAACUAUUAAAUUUUGUCUUCAAAUAUGUUAUUCGAGUAGCAUUCAUACUGUGAUUUUACUUAUUACUCUUGAACUUGCAGGUCCUAGGAGACAUCACAAUUCUUGAGAUUACCAGGAAUUACGUGGGUGAGGUAUUUGGAAUGCAUAGUCGUGGUCUUCCUAAGCGCUAAUUUCCCUGCUUCCAAUCUCGAAGUUUAAAUGCCGUUUCUUAAGAAGAAGGUGCCGAACUAAAUGGUAAUAAUGCAGUAUCUUGUAUACUCAAGUUUCAUUUUUGUUUUUUUUAGUUAUUAAUUUGCUGUAAUUGUUCUCUGGGGCGCAAUAUGCUGUCAAGUUAUUUUGAUGAACUGUAAUGCCAUCUUCCACUGCUAAUCUACUUUGUCUGAAAAUUAUUCAGCAUUAUCUG